AACGAACGCUGGCGGCAUGCCUAACACAUGCAAGUCGAACGAGACCUUCGGGUCUAGUGGCGCACGGGUGCGUAACGCGUGGGAACCUGCACUUAGGUUCGGAAUAACUCCCCGAAAGGGGUGCUAAUACCGGAUAAUGUCUUCGGACCAAAGAUUUAUCGCGUUUGGAUGGGCCCGCGUUGGAUUAGCUAGUUGGUAGGGUAAAAGCCUACCAAGGCGACGAUCCAUAGCUGGUCUGAGAGGAUGAUCAGCCACACUGGGACUGAGACACGGCCCAGACUCCUACGGGAGGCAGCAGUGGGGAAUAGUGGACAAUGGGCGAAAGCCUGAUCCAGCAAUGCCGCGUGAGUGAUGAAGGCCUUAGGGUUGUAAAGCUCUUUUACCCGGGAUGAUAAUGACGGUACCGGGAGAAUAAGCUCCGGCUAACUCCGUG
rnacentral:rRNA from 1 species